AUGUUAACUGAAUAUAAUUCGAUAAGACCAAUGAUAACAGAACAGACAUGAACAAACUUUGUUGCCUCAUAUGUUGUUUUUGUUUUGUUUAUCAUUAACAGAACCAAUGAGAUUUUGAGUUUUUCUUUUUUCCUGUCAAAUGAGUUCCCCUGUCUUGUUUUUUAUUCCAUUUUAUAUUUUGAAAACCAAAGGAGAAGGCAUAAAAAAAUAAAGAGUAUGUAUCACCAAUUUAGAUGCCAAUGUUUGACAAC
rnacentral:misc_RNA from 1 species